rnacentral:sRNA from 1 species
AAUUAUAGUUUUGGUACUCAGGUAGGCUAGGGUUCAAGGUACGAAUGAUCCUUAGAUGGUGAGGGUGGGGGGGCCCUUUGGCAACUGAGGAGCAAUUUGGAUUCUCCAGAAGAUAACAUCUGUGGAGCGAAACGUACCCAGGGGGUACUCCAAGGAGGUGGGCUCGGUACAAGCGUGGUACCCUGCGGUGGGGAAGAUUUCAGCCUGGCAGGGGUCCUAAGAUCCCGUUUGUUCUGCUAAAUCCUUGUUUUAUGUAUGUCUCCUCUUCCCUGACCCUGCAGACUAUAUUGAACUCCAUGCACAAAUACCAGCCCCGGUUCCACAUUGUAAGAGCCAAUGACAUCUUGAAACUCCCUUAUAGUACAUUUCGGACAUACUUGUUCCCCGAAACUGAAUUCAUCGCUGUGACUGCAUACCAGAAUGAUAAGAUAACUCAGUUAAAAAUAGACAACAACCCUUUUGCAAAAGGUUUCCGGGACACUGGAAAUGGCCG